AGCAGAAUAGCCUACUGAGUGAGGCACUGGGUUGUAAAAUAGGAGGUCUGGGUUCCCUUCCCAGUUCUGCCA
rnacentral:tRNA from 1 species